GAGGGAGGUAGGCGGAGAGAAAGAAGGAAAAAGAUAAAGAGAGAGAGCGUGUGUGUGUGCGAAACGGAUGUUCGGAGGAGAGCGAACCUCGACCGAAUACGUACGCUGCGGCGUUCCCCGCGUGAAUGCCGGCCCGGCGGCCUGCACGUGCUGAUGCCGCAAGGCACUUCACCGCUGCCGCUCAACCAAUCGCGACGAACCACCUGUUACCAGCGCAGCGCACCGACGGCAAACGGGGGAAGUAGCGCGGCUCGCGCUGCGCGCGCAUGGUCGCUCAUUCGUGCAGCGGAUUUUUCGAAGAGCCGCUCGCGCGCUUCUCGCUCUUCCCGAGAGGACGGCGGACGAGCAAGCGUCUCGCUUGCGGGAAAUGGGAAAGGUCGCGGAUCGCGCGUGGGAAAUCGAAGGGAGAGACUCGUCAUCAGCGCCGGUGGCGUUUCCGAUUUGACGAGCGAAACUGCGCUCACUCGGCCGUCACGUUCGCCAUCUUUCCCAGACGUUCUCGCAGCCGUCGCGACAGUGAUUACGUCCGUGCUCCGAUCGUGCACGCGGUCGGCUGCGAUGUCCCGACAGUUUGGAAUAAUAAUAGCGCGACGGAGACUAAUACAGAUAACUUGAGUAUUCUCUUAAGGAUAUGCUAACAAUUGAGAUGGUCAUGGAAGUUCAUCUUUAGAUGCGACAUAGAUGCUAUAUGAAAGCCGUUUCAUCAGAUGUAUAUUAUACCAAGAUAAACUCAACUUUACACUAGACUAUAAAUAUUACCUUGAGAGCGGGAAAACGUGAACAAGUUCACGGUGAAAAGUUCCACGUUGCCAUAGUUCGAGAGGUUACAUGAUCG